ensembl:miRNA MIR129-2 microRNA 129-2
CUUUUUGCGGUCUGGGCUUGCUGUUCAUAAGUAUCUAGCUGGGAAGCCCUUACCCCAAAAAGCA